rnacentral:rRNA from 1 species
AGCAGUGCCACGGGAAUACGUAGGUGGCAAGCGUUGUCCGGAAUUAUUGGGCGUAAAGGGCUCGCAGGCGGUUUCUUAAGUCUGAUGUGAAAGCCCCCGGCUCAACCGGGGAGGGUCAUUGGAAACUGGGAAACUUGAGUGCAGAAGAGGAGAGUGGAAUUCCACGUGUAGCGGUGAAAUGCGUAGAGAUGUGGAGGAACACCAGUGGCGAAGGCGACUCUCUGGUCUGUAACUGACGCUGAGGAGCGAAAGCGUGGGGAGCGAACAGGAUUAGAUACCCCCGUAGUCCCUGUCUCUUAUACA